AAUUACAAGGCACUUACAGAAUGCUCAGCUUGUUCCAGGAUAUUUUUUGUUAGUGGCUGGUGUACAAACAAGAGAUAGAAUGACAGAUGCCAUCUAUAUGUUUUACAGAAACGCCUCUUGCUUGUGCAUGUGUAAACAGAGUCAGGUUUGACAAAAUGCAAAGAGAUGUCUUAUAGAUGGCGCCUGUGAGGAAGACGGGUCUCCUCAAGCUGAUGAGGCUGUAAAAGCAGUUGUCAUGAGUAUGUGCAAGUCUGCCACACCUGUUCUUCAAGGAAAUUCCCACUGGAAAAUAUGAAUCUUCAGAAUCAGAGACCAAGGCUAGCUGAGCUGAGUUCAGUUUUCCAUUAGUUCAAGAGAGACUGUGACCACCAAAAUGGCUUUUUGUGAGUCUUUCUGAGACUUUUCUAUUUCUCCUGGCUCUGUGUUAUUUGUGGUUAAAGUUGAAGAUUAAAAUCCUCUUACUUGGUCCUUGAAGAAAUAACCAUGAUUAAUCUUAUAGCAUUAAAUUCAUUGGUGAUGUGUUUUGAAGGGAAUAAACUCCUGCAAAAAUAAACUGCAAAAAGGCUUGGAUAUACAGAAUUUCGAUGCUUCAAAUGAUGUAAUUUUCUAUAAUAUUUAGCCUGCCAUUUUUAGUUUGGUAUUUGUAUAAUAGGAGAUUUCGAAGAAAAAGCUAAAGAGAGGCUAAUUUGCUUGGUACUGCUUCUGUUCUUUUGUUCUUUUAGAAUCUAAAAUUAACCAACAUCUGCAGUGUCAACAGGGACUCCAUAUGGCAUUCAAGUUUGUACUUUUCCUAAAUAAUGCAUUUGAAGCAAUGUAAUCUGAGAGGAAUUCUGAGGUGAUAAUGAAUAGACUGCCUUAUAUUGUAUAGCACUUGAUAGUUUCAAAAUGAUUUAACAACUAGGACUUUAUUUGAUCUUCAUAACAAUGUUAGGAGGAAACAAGAUCAGGUAUUUCUUAUUCUUGUCAAACAGAUGAGAAGAUAGAAGUCCAAAAUAUGGAAGAGAGAUGACCACAGUCACAAAUCUGAUACCUUUGCAAUGGCUUUUGGGGGCCUGUGCACUCUCAAGAAACUGAUGCCUCCUGUGUGAAGAUGUAGAGAGCCUGGAAGAAUGGAACAUAUCAUGACUAAUCUCUGAAUACCUCACCCUGGAGGGAGUUGUUCUUGCUUUCACAAAUAAUUCAGUGCUUCAGUUGAUCAACACAUUUAAAGGAAGUUUCCAAACAUGUCUGAAACUCUAGGUGCGGAGACUUUAGUGCCAAUUAACAAGGGCAGUUCAGAACAGAACACAACAGAGGUAGGAAAUGAGGAAAGUGAAGAAGCAGUGUGAUAGAGUAGAGAGAGCCAGCUCUGUCAGCAGCUAGCUGUAUGCCUUUGGUGAUUAUGCCCGCACCUCAGUUUUCCCAACUCUAAAACGAAAGGAACUUGGUGAGAAAAGCACAUUUACGGUGUCUCCCUGUAUGCUCUCCCUGACAUUGAAUUCCCUGCGGACAUGCGGCUGCCAGCCCUCCUCGUCAUGCUUUCCCUUGCCAGCCCUUUCUGGCCUCCACAGUUUUUCACUAGGGAUGUUUUAUUGAGAAAGACUGGUGGCACCUGGCACAAUAUCAUAUGCUGUCUCCCAGAUUCCUGAAUAAUUUCUUCUAGGUUGGAAAGGAGUCUCUUUCAUUUUCAAAUACCUGUAUCUAAUGUCAGCCUUGCCCUGAGGAGCAACACCACAGAGUUGGAGGGUGGAAUCUUUAGUUAGCUUCUCUGAGGCCAUGUGCUAAUAAAACAAACAAACAAAAUAAAAUUUAACAAAUCUUUUGUG